GACGAACGCUGGCGGCGUGCUUAACACAUGCAAGUCGAACGGAAAGGCCCUGCUUGCAGGGUACUCGAGUGGCGAACGGGUGAGUAACACGUGGGUGAUCUGCCCUGCACUUCGGGAUAAGCCUGGGAAACUGGGUCUAAUACCGGAUAGGAGCCAUUUUUAGUGUGAUGGUUGGAAAGUUUUUUCGGUGUAGGAUGAGCUCGCGGCCUAUCAGCUUGUUGGUGGGGUAAUGGCCUACCAAGGCGGCGACGGGUAGCCGGCCUGAGAGGGCGGACGGCCACAUUGGGACUGAGAUACGGCCCAGACUCCUACGGGAGGCAGCAGUGGGGAAUAUUGAACAAUGGGCGCAAGCCUGAUGCAGCGACGCCGCGUGGGGGAUGACGGCCUUCGGGUUGUAAACUCCUUUCGCUAGGGACGAAGCUUUUUGUGACGGUACCUAGAUAAGAAGCACCGGCUAACUACGUG
rnacentral:rRNA from 1 species